GCCAUGCCGCGUGUGUGAAGAAGGCCUUCGGGUUGUAAAGCACUUUCAGCGGGGAGGAAGGCGGUGAGGUUAAUAACCUCACCGAUUGACGUUACCCGCAGAAGAAGCACCGGCUAACUCCNUGCCAGCAGCCGCGGUAAU
rnacentral:rRNA from 1 species